GAUGGGUUAGCCAGACCGGGAACCCUCUGUCCCAAGUACCUCUCAGUGCAUGCUGGCUACCCUUGCGAGAUGGGAACACAAGGUCCACCUGCCUGCUGCGUCUCUAGGCCACCCCAGCCUAGGCCAAGGGCUCCCGACAGCCAGCAGCGUGCCACAUCGGACUCCCAGGCACCCCGCAAAGGGAGCAAGAUGUCUCAGAGGCACUAGGAUCGGCUUCAACCAAAGACACCGACAGAAUCACAGUCUCUUGGAUGUACUGGGAAGUGGAGGUUCUUCCUAACUUUGUGCACCUGUGGUUUUGAGUGAAAAAAAUUACCAACAGUUUAUUAAGGUUAAUAGAAAGUAUUCUUUGGUCAACUACAAGUGACAAUAGAUGGACAAAUAUGGCUGAACUCUCUACUGAACGAGACAAGAAAAAGAUCAAUUGUGGCAAAAAUCAUUGUCAGAUUUGUAGAUAUUAAGGCUCAAAGCCAGAAACUGGUCAAUAGUUGUAUUCAUUACUGUGGAAAAGGGUAUGUUGGCCACUGUCCUUGUCACUGAGUACACCUGGUCCACGGAGAAGGGGGUUUAGAAAAUCCAUCUGGCACCCUCUGGUCAUCAGUGAGGACUGGAAAGGCCAGGAAGGAACCUGAGUGGGAAUCCCCUGAAUCACAGACGACCAGAAUGAGUCAUCCCUUUCCAGCCUGCCAGGACCGAGGUGUCACACCCCCCCCCCCCCGCACUGGCGGGCGGGGUGGGUUGGCCACUUCUCAAUCAGCAGCCCCUCCCUGCCGAGCCUCCCUGUCCCGUUCUCAACUCUGCAGGCCUGUUGUCAGAAUCUCUCUCUCACACACUCACACACAAAAUGCAUGCGUGAAAAUCCUCUGUAAGUGGCAGUCUGGAACUCGUGGGAGCAUUUUAAUGCUGGACGCACGGGCAGGUGUUUGGGGAAUGGCUUAGCCUGUCAGUGCUAAGGGCUGCAGGCAGCUGCCUUCCCAGGAAGCAAGGUCUUCGUCCAGGAAAUCUCUUCUGGAUGCAGAGUGGGGCUGAGGUGGCCCUGAGCCCAGCACUCCCGCACGGUCCCUGAUGCUGGAAGGGUGAGUGAGUUCUGACCCUCCCCAGGGAGUCACUGCAAAAGGCAGGCGAAGCCUUCUUGCUUUUGCCCUGAAGAAGGAGGGGUGCAGUGCUGCAGGUGACCCUCUCUGCAGCAAGAACCAUUUCCUUCUGGGAUGCCGGUGGGUUCACAGGAUGGCCUUGGCCUCCCAGGCCCUGGGAGGAGAAACUCCUUACACCUGAGAGCUCGCUUAGCCGUGGGGCUGGAGGGAAACCACGUGGAACCUGUAGGUGGGGACGGAGGCCAGGCAGGGGGUUUUCCACAGCUGCUCAUGGCAAACUCAAUCCCUCAGUUCAUGGAACCUGUGUUGGACGCAGGGUAGCCUCGCUGCUGUAUCCCAGGGCCGGGGGAGUUUGGGACGGGGGAAUUCCGACUCCAAACCAAGGAAUGAUCUUGCAGUGUGCUGUGAGCUCUGCUGGCCAAAGUACAGAUGGUUUAAACGUGUGACUUCAAAGCCUGCCUGGUAUGGGUUCCUCGGUCCCUGAAACGUUCGCGUGGCUUCAGAUGAUCCCCCUGAGGUCCGGUGCCCAGUGUGCUAUGUGACCUGGGCAAGGAAUCUUGCCUCUCUGAGCCUGUUUCCUUUUCUGCAAAAUGAGGAGAGCCGUCCACAUUGCUGGGUGCUGGCAUGAGAGGAGACGCUGUCCUCAGGUAUUCAGAAAGCCCAUGUUCACCGGUAGAGUGUCCAUUUUGUCCAGACUCUCUUUUAGCAGAUAAGGAAGCGGCCCCUUCUCUGAUCACAUGCUUAGCAGCAGUGGUGGGGUCAACACUCUGCCCUCCUGGUGCUGUCCCCGCUUUUCUGGCCAAGACCACCGCCUCGUUUCUAGAUGUUUCCGUGUGUUUCCAAGUGCCAUACGUUGCGCAUUUUUAGUUUCGUUUGGUGGUAAAAUUCUCACGAUAUGAAAGUCACCAUUUAAACCAUUUUAAAGCGUGUAA